rnacentral:rRNA from 1 species
AUGGCAAUAGUUCAAAGAUGGGGUAAACCGGACUAUUUUAUCACGAUGACAUGCAAUCCGUACUGGGAGGAGAUAACUAUUGAAUUGUUGCCUGGACAGCUGCCACAAGACCGUCCAGACCUUGUGGCAAGAGUAUACAGAGCUAAACAACGAUCCAUGAUGGACUUACUGAUUAAGGGUAAGCAUUUUGGAGAAGUUGCGGCUUAUGUACAUGUCACUGAGUUUCAGAAACGAGGCCUC